AUUGAACGCUGGCGGCAGGCCUAACACAUGCAAGUCGAACGAGUGGCGGACGGGUGAGUAAUGUCUGGGAAACUGCCUGAUGGAGGGGGAUAACUACUGGAAACGGUAGCUAAUACCGCAUACCAUCAGAUGUGCCCAGAUGGGAUUAGCUUGUUGGUGGGGUAACGGCUCACCAAGGCGACGAUCCCUAGCUGGUCUGAGAGGAUGACCAGCCAAACGGGAACUGAGAAACGGGCCAGACCCCGACGGGAGGCAGGAGGGGGGAAUAUUGCACAAGGGGGGCAAGCCGGAUGCAGCCAUGCCGCGGGUAUGAAGAAGGCCUUGGGGUUGGAAAGUACUUUUAGCGGGGAGGCGUUACCCGCAGAAGAAGCACCGGCUAACUCCGUGCCAGCAGCCGCGGUAAUUC
rnacentral:rRNA from 1 species